rnacentral:rRNA from 1 species
CCUACGGGAGGCAGCAGUCGGGAAUCUUGCGCAAUGGGCGAAAGCCUGACGCAGCAACGCCGUGUGGGUGAGGAAGGCCCUAGGGUCGUAAAGCCCUGUUGUUGGGGACGAAGGGCGAAGGGUUAAUAGCCCCUAGCUUGACGGUACCCUUCGAGGAAGCCCCGGCUAACUACGUGCCAGCAGCCGCGGUAAUACGUAGGGGGCGAGCGUUGUCCGGAAUUAUUGGGCGUAAAGAGCGUGUAGGCGGUUUGGUAAGUCUGCCGUGAAAACCCAGGGCUCAACCCUGGGCGUGCGGUGGAAACUGCCAGGCUAGAGGAUGGUAGAGGCGAGUGGAAUUCCGAGUGUAGCGGUGAAAUGCGCAGAUAUUCGGAGGAACACCAGUAGCGAAGGCGGCUCGCUGGGCCAUUCCUGACGCUGAGACGCGAAAGCAUGGGGAGCGA